CAACAGAGCGGCUUCUCCCUGCCUCUUUCUCUUCUAUUUACUCUUAUAUAUGCAGGUAUAUAUAAGAUCAUAUUCCAACGCCGAUUUCGGAACAGAGCCGGCCGGGUGCAUCCCCUUAGGAGCCCCGUCUGUGUGCGGGGCUGGCGGGUGGUGCCGAGGCGCAGACCCGCUCAGCAUCCCACCCGUGCCUGCGAUCCGCGGCUUUGUUCAGAGUGCCCACCCUGCAGAGAGGCUUUCAUCUCAGAGGAGUGGUGGAGGUACUGUAGUAGCACACUGGUACAUUUUGAAGGGAUGUGUUAUUAUUGGAAAAUUAGGGUGACAUUGUUUUUUUUCUGGGUUUUUUUUUUUUUUUUUUUUUUUUUUUACUUGCACGUCCACUGUGACUAGUUUUUUCCCCAGUGGAAAUUCAUGUUUUGGAGAAACCUGUCACAUCCCCUGGCUAACCAGCACCACUCACAAAGUACUGUCAGAAGGGAAAAGGUUUGCUUCUCUGGUUAAAAAUGCUGUGAUUCGCUCAUACUUUUGUAAGCUGAACUUUGCUGACACCUAAAAAAAUUGCAGGGACUGCAGCCCACCCCGUUGGUUUUUAUGAUCCAUUUCAGUGCUCAGCGGUGCCGGCUGGCUUGAGACUUCAAGCAGCCCGGGGAUUGUCCAGCAAUAACUCAGCUUCAGCAUUUCCUCACUGGUGCAGCGCUCCAGCUGGGCACAGAAAUGCAGUUGAAGCAAUCUACACGUUAGUCAGAAUUAUUGUCAUUUUUCCUUCCCAGAAAUACGUAGCUAUCCACAGAGGGCAGGCGAAUGAGAGGCAGGCAUUGUUGUGUGAAAGAAAUAGGGGGUUUUCUACAGAGGUCUUUGUCCUGAAGUGCACUAUAUGAGUUUUCACUAGACUUCAUCUAAAAGCAAGGCAUUUCCCCUGUGACGUUACAUUUACCUUUCCCUUUCGGUUGCUGGGGAGCUCAACAUGCACCCAGAGGCAGAAGGAUCUGUAAAACAGAAAAUGAAAUUUCAGAUGCUAUGACUUUAAUAAGGAACACUUACUUAGCAACUGAAUAUCUUUGAGUCGACAGUGAAAAUGAGAGUUCCAGCCAAGUUGUAGAGUCAUAUCAUAUAUGCUUUCAGUUUAUUAGCUCAUUUGGAGGCUAGCUAAAGAGAAACCAGAGAUGGACAUCUCUGCACAUGCUCACUCUAAGUCCAUGAUUUUUAAAGUUUGCUGUCUUGGCUGUUUUACAACUUCAGGCUAACAAAAGCUUCAGGCUAUAUUGUAUGCUAACUAUUAUUUUUAAAGUAGAUUAAUUUUGAGUUGCAUUAUAAAAUGUAGUAAAUAAGCAAAUAAGAAAACAUCUCUUUUCAAGGAGUUGAGAAAUUAAUGAAAAAAGGGCGGCAGUAAUGUACCAUGAGAUUUGGCUUUGGAAAGAGCUCUCACAGAGGAAUGGAUGUAGAGUAGCUAGAUGUGUGUCUCAUCUAACUUAAGAACACACUAGGUCUUCCCAUAUUUUGCCAACUGUCAAGCUCUUCAGCUGCACGGUUAAAGGUUACUUCGAUGUUAUGGUCUGAACUGAAUUUAUAUGGCUAAUGCCAUCCUGAAAUGGAGAGAGUGAAAAUCAGAAUACCUAUGCAAUCUUAAAUGCAAUAAAAAUGUAACAUUCGCUGUAUCAGCUAGUAUGUAGAAGCUGAACAAGUCCUUACCAGGGUGUGAGUUUUUUACUGGAGUAAUGCAAGCCUUGGCGUGUGGCACUUCGUAAUUAUUAACUAGUCUGCAGGCGAGCUCUGGUGUAACGUGUCUAUUUGAACUGUAACAUCUGUGAGUGUAUGUAAAAUAUCCACAGUUUGUCUGCUUGCAGAAUAAAAGCUAGUUGUCAGGAAUCCAGCCAGAUCUCAGUGAAUGGAAAACGCUUCUUGUUUCCUGACAGUUCCCUUGUCUGGCUGUUACAUUGAACACUGAUUCCUUUCCAUGGGUGAGAUAAGAGAAGUGACGGGAGAUGACUGAGAGGGGCAGCUUUUCUUUGUUUUUUCCACCCCUCUUUCUCUUCCCUUUCCUCUUCUCAGUUCUUAUUUGUGGCAGUAUUUGCAUUAUCCAUGAGCAGGUUAGACCAGAUACUGCCGUGUCCAGCAGGGGAUGCACAGAGCAGGGGAUGUGGCCGGCACUGCUAGUUGCACUAUGUCCAAUGCCCAUCCUAUUGCAACUGGCAGCAUGAGUCCUAAGGUGCCCUCGUCCAGGCUGUUUGCUUCCUAUUCUGUUACUGGUUUAGCUGAUCAUCACUUUCUUUACUCAGUGGUAAGCAGGUAUUUGAAGCUGUAUGGUAACAGAUUGCAAAGCUGGACCUUAUGUUCCCAUUCAUCAGUGUUGUUCAAGCAAUUCUCCUCUUUAGCCUUUCCACCUCUCUUGUCUGUCAAGAAUUUCUUUAGCUGCAUGGAAUUUAAUGAAGGGGUUUGCGUGAUUAGCCAGGCUUUUAAUGUGAAGCACAAGCUUUGGAUUUGUUGUCAUCUGUAUAAACAGAGCUUAGAAAUUAAAUAAACUGGGUGGUUUGGGUAAAUAAAGUAAAACCAAGGUGAGAAGAUAGUUCAAUGCAAAGUACAGAUGUGCUUUAAUCCUAUGCCAUUGGAAAUCAAUAGCAGGAUUUCUGUUGACUUUAAUGAAAGUAGUAUUUGGCACGUGUUAGCAGGUUACAGGUUUAUUCAAAUUGUUAUUCCUCUUAACUUUAUUGUCUUUCCUUAUAACACAGUGGAAUGUGAUCAUGAAGUUUCCUGCCAUAAAGCUCCGGGGUAGAUUGUAUGAUACAUUUGGUUUGUUAUUGGAAACAACUUAGAUUAAUUUGUGCAUUAGUUACCACAGUGACUACAGACAGUAUUGCAUGCUGCGUGGAGCAGUUAAAAUAUUGCCUGGUAUAUGAUGUAUGAGGUGCCUAAUUUUGCCAGGAAGGUUUCUUCAUUAGUGCUGUCUCAGUAUACACAGUUCUAACUUACAACAUUUUAAAUUAAGGCACCUGUUAGCAAGUGUAAGGAUGAAGAGAUGGUAUCUCAAGCCUGUGAAGUAACACUCAUGUUGAUGUUUCUAUGGGUGUUUUUUCCACUUGUCAUCUUGCACAUGUUAAAUCAAAGAAUGGAACUUUUGUUUCUGUUAUAUAUUCAACGUUUGCUAGCCAAGAAAUCCACAGUUAUGUUUAUUUCAGCCUUAUUUAAGGUGUGUAUUGAACACCUCUGGCUGGUUCUGUGCACGGUGCACGAAGGUGGUAAAUGCUGCUGGAUUCUUCUUUGAGUAAAUUAUUCCACUGGAGUAAAUACUCAUUAGAAUGCAAAUUCAGAUUACAGAUAGGCGUUUUCUGUUUGCUGUUUGCAAAACCCAGGAAGUUUGUCUCCCUUUCUCUCCCUAGGCUGCACUUGGGAGGCAAUGAGGAGUAGCUGCAGGAGCCUGCCUCCCCUCCUCCUUCAUUUCCUUCUUUCUGCCUGAGCCACAACAUCUUUUCUUCCUCCUCACCAGCAGGUGGAGGAAGCACUAUUCUCCUCCAGCUGUUCCUCCAGAAAGUUAAUUAUUUUGGGAAUUGAUGACAAGCAGCAGCCCAACAUGAAGAACAGGCACGUGGUGCAUAUUUGGACAGGCAUGUUAUGUGUGGUGGCUGCCGUGUGUUAUUUAUCUCUUUUGCAUAAUAAGUGCAGGUAGAAGGAUAUUGCCAAAUGAAAUUUGUUUCUGGAUCAAAAUCUUGUAAAAAACCCUCAAACUUUAAAGCAACUGAUUUUUUUUAUUUACAACUGCAGUGCAAAUCUUUGCUUUGAAACAGGUCUGCUUCUUGAUGUAUUUGAAGGGUCAAGCAGGGUUUUUGAAACCUGGAACAGCAACAGAUGACAUGAAAGGAAGACUUUUGCUUUGCUGAUUGUAUUUCUCCAUAUCACGACAAAACCAAAACAUGAACAUCAACAAUGAUAGCUCUGUCAUGUCAGUAAUUAAGGCCUUGUUGGCCACGCAACCAUUUGUUUGGAGUGUGGUUUUUAAGAGUUCCUUAUAACAGGAUAAUAGUGUACUUGUGGGUUGCUGAGGGCAGUGAAAGCCAGGUGAAACAUUUGUUCUCUCACCUGCGCUGUCAAUAUCACAGAAAAUGUCAGUAUCCCUCUGAUGCAUGUGAUUUUGUUUUUAAUCUUUAAUAAUAUAUUUCCAUUUUUUCCCUUGAGAAUUUCUUCAGUUAGCACUUCAGUCACUGCUUCAUAUUGAUUUUUAUCUUGAUUGCUUGGUGUGCAUCUUCUGCAGGAUAAUGUCCAAAUACGACACAGAAUCUGUUUAUUUCUUUUGAAGUUCUUUGUUGCUCUUACUAAGACAUCUUCCUUUGUAGCAGACACAGGGAUAAGUAUCUACACAAUGCUGCUGUGAUGUGAAGCAUCUGUACAGUACUUUGCUUAGCAGGCUCCUGAUUCAUGAAUGUGGCUUCCACAGCUCUGAUAAUACACUUCAAUUAUAGUAACAAUAGCUUGUAUUACUACCCCAUUUUAUACACAAGAAGUGAAAAAACUUGGCAAUUCAAGCCAAAAUCACCGAAAAUUUCAAGUAGUUUUGAGUGCACAGCCAGGUCCCUGAUUCAUCCGGACAUGUAGACUAUAUAACAUCAGAAUCCUGUGGAUGACACUCUCCUCUUGCAGAGCUCAGCCUGUCCUGCCUCCUGGCCUCUCUCUUUACCCGAGGCUUUUGUCCCUGUGUGACAUCCAGCAUCGGUCUCCAUUCCUGGCCCUUUUGUACUCAGCUGCCUCCCGCUUUGUUGUGUGUGCCAGCGCGGUGACCCGCGCAGGGCGCGCAGCUCUGCUCCCUGCUCCCAAGCUGGCUGCCAGCAGGAUCUGUGCAGCCUGUGGGGGCUGCUGCGGGCACCUCUCCUGCCCUGCUGCACUCACAUGGGCCCAGAGGUUCUUCAGGGCAAAAGGGAUUUUUACAAAACAUAUCACCUGAAUCUUUUGCAUGUAUGUAUGUGUGUAUUUAUUUAUUUAUUUAAGAUGUUUAAACUGAGUUCCUUUAGGGACUCGUAAUGUGAGCAAAUCUGGGCAGUGUUUUCACCGUGCUGAAGGCGUGUUAGUGAAACUCGGGUCAUCCUCUGCAUGCAUGGAAAUUCUAGAUCUGGAAUGAACAGAAGUUGGAAAGAGUAUAUGGGUUUGAAAAUAGUUUUGCUGUUAAUUUGUUAUUUGUUCUACCCUUAGCUAUUAGAUGUGUUCCGAAAUUGUGGUUUAAAAAAUAGCAGCAAAUGGAAAGAAACCCACUGGAAUUAUUCUAAUGUAAUUCACAGUGAAUAUUGUGGGCUUUAUUACCAUAGGAGUUACUACCUUGUAUCAAAUUGCUGCAGUCUUCAUAUAAACACUUGGAUAAUUGAAAUGCCAAAGAAAACCUUAACAUUAAGGGGUGCAGACAGAAAAAUACUGAUUAUAGCAUGAAGGUCAUCAGGAGAAAGGCACUGGAACAGAUUACUAGUUUUCUGCACUGAGAAUUUCUGUUGGAGAAGCAGAUUUGGUCAGGGAAGUAUGGGUCAGUGGUAUGAAAGUCUGAAUUAAUGACUAGCCAGUAAGGGGUCAUCUGAAUAUAUUAGUUUGUCAAAUCUUGUACCAAAUUAAAGAACAGCAUGUUCUUUGAGCUUUGAAUGAAGAUCAAGUGAUAUUCUUUCAAUGAUGUUGCACUUCCUUACAGGUGAAGAAAUUAAAAAUGUCCAGAGACUUGCAUUUUUUUUUUUUCUCCUGCAUUAGAUUGAGCAAUUUUGGGCAGAUAAUUAACUUCCUGUGUCUCAGUGUAUUCCUUUCUGGAGGGGUUAAUAUGGGAAGGUUAAACUAAUGAACAGGACACAUUAUGGCUUGAUGCACACGUAGUGUGAUUCCCUCUACAUGUGAAAUUUCACAACAGAAGUUGAGCCAAUGUUUUUAAUGUAGCUUUCAGCUAAAACACUAUAAAAUGCCUAAGUGUUUUUACAAAUGGUUUCAUAGCACCAUGUGCUAGAGAACACAAGAGAAUGGAAAUUGCUUGUACAAAGUCUUUAAUUAGAUAUUGCUAAAAUGUACUGCAUUUUUAAUGGCAUGUGUUCUAAAAAUUAUUAUUAUUUUUUUAGGAACCACAGUGUGGAUUUGCCUUGUGGAGACAGUUAUUGUAUAUAUUGUAGUUCGGGGUCAUACAUGUUGAAUAAAACCAUGUGGAAUGUUCAGUUCUUGUGAACAAUUGUUUAUUCUUCACAGAACUGUAAUUGUAGUUAGUCUGUGUUUUGUCUGGUAAAUAAGUAACUAGAGUCUCUGCUGGAGUGAGGAAUUGGGAGGAGGCACACAGUGGCCACAACAGUUCCAAGGAAGAAUGACACAUGUGUGGGUUGAAAACCAGCUCUGGGUGUAUCAGCCCUGAACACCAGCAGGUGAACAUGUGUACAGCCAUGGUUAUCCAGAUGUAGAGCCUAUGGAACACGUUUCCAAAAGCUGUGUACCAGGCUUUCAGAGGCUGGUUGAUGACCUUCGGUUUGAGACGAGCAUCUGCCUGGUUCUAGUCUCUCCCGCUUGUACCACACUAAUGUACUCUCUGUCUACAUCAACUGGGAUGCUGAUGUCGAAGAACCUCCUCUUGCUGUGCAACCGUGCUCCUCUCAGCAGGACACUGUUCUACUUACUGUUGUCUUGUAUGUUUUCCUCUAAAGCGGGACCAAACAAUAUUUUCUGCCACAGCUCUGAAUGAUCUUCUGAAGCCAGAGGUGCAGGUUUGCCUCCAGGCUUGGGGUGGGAUAGGAGCUCACAGCAUGGAUAGCAAAAGCCAGUGGUGGCUCCUCAGUGUGCUGGCCAGAGCCUCAGCAUCUCCUGGCCUGGGUCAGGCUGGAGGCUGCAGCCAGUGCCCAUCUCGGAUGUUUUGUGUUGAUGGUUUGCACGUUCACAUGGGAAUUUCUGACCUACAAGAGCACGUCCUUCUUGCCUCCUCCAUAAGUCGGGAUUUGUCCCUAAAUUGCCCAGGUGUGUACCAGACACUUUAUAGAAAAACCUCUUGUCAUUAGCACUGAUGGGUCGAUGUACUUAGGAUAUUUAAUAUGUCAGAGGAAAUGUCUCAGAUGAAAAGGUCUCCAACUAAAUAUGUAAAUGAUAUUUGUCAGCGUUUCCUUCAAAUAUCUUCCAGCAGAUGUGAGUACCAUGUGUGUCCAUUUAAUAAACUAAACUGAAAAUAAUUUCCACUUUGCUAGAUAUAUUGGGGAAUAGCUGGGGAGGGCGGGGAGUGAACUACAAAGCAAGGUAAAAACUGCAUAUGUGUGUUGUUAUAUUUGAUGACCAAUUCAUUAAAGCCAUAAGUGUAUCCAGGCUUUCAAUAGUGUUCUCCUGCUGUUGCUUCCUGUACUCUCUGGCUACAAAAUCAGUCUCUAUGGCUCUCAUUUGUCUUACCCACAUGAAAGACUUCAAGCAUCUGAAAGUUAUGAUUUGAGAAGUAUCUGCUUUUAAACAGAAUAUAUUUUAUCACCGUGUCUUCACAGGCAGCAUAGUACAUUGUAUAAAUUAGAGGAUCCUAGACCUUUGAACACUCAGAGGCUGGGUGAGGUACUCCGUGUGUGUACUGUGUCUGGCCAUACCCCUCAAACAUCCUGGACCCACACCAAAAAUGCCAGAUGUUCAGUAGACGUGGAGGCCCUCCUGUAACCUUUGCUGUGUGCUGCAAAGCAUGGAGGGGCAAGGUUGUAACCAUCCCUUGAUCUUCCAUGGUUCUUGUACUCUUAUUUGAGCUCCAUAAUUUCUGUAUUUUCAACUACAAACCAAGGGCCAAUUCUCAAUUCAAUCUGUUAAACUAUUGCAUGGUAUAAGCUCAUUGUAUCCCCCAACUCUCCAAAGACAGAUGGAAUUUGCUUAGCUCUGAUGGCUUUUGAGCCAUCAGUCCUUAAAGCUGCCAUUGGUCCAUGAUGCGAUGGAAGUCCUGGGUCUUGCUCAAGUAUGGACUUUUCCAGGCUCUAUCCUUACCGGAGUAGGAGAUAAUAAAAUACUUUAAUAGGUGGUUCCUUUCACAUGAAACAAACCCAGUCACAGAGCAGCUAUGGGACAAGGGGUUGGCAUGGCUGGUGUGUGUGAAACCAUCCCAACCAGUUUAAGUCAAUGCAAACAUCACAAAAUAAAUGUAGGUCUUGUUUUUUACAAGUAUUAAGAAAACUGCAGCUGAGAUUGCUGAGCUUAGCAUGCUCCUGAUGUAACAGUUAAUUUCUGGAUUCUUCCUGAGCCUUCUCACUGUCAGCAUUUCCCACUUCACCUCACUACACCCUCAUCAUGGUGCCUGAGAGCCUUUGCUGCUGGGUCCCUGAGACACCAGCCUGGUGAAUGGGAGGGUCUGCUGCACCUUGUGUGGGGCUGGCAGCCUUUGUGACAGAGCAUCGGUGGUUGGCAGGCUGUGCUUCCUCUGUUGCCUUCCUGGGGAACGUUGGUGAUCCCAGAGCCCCUCGGUGACUCUGGCGCAGCAGCCGCAUAUGGGAUGACUUAAGGCUGGAGCAGUGUCUUUGUUCUGAGGUCUGGCGGCUUGAGGGACGUGCAAUUAUCCUAAUGUCUGGCUGGGCCGUGGAGCUGAGUCAGCAUGUUUGGCCUUGAGCAGCACUGCCUCAGAAUAAAGACACUAAUUAAGGGAUAUUAGGCUUAAAAAAAGAAUAAUUUAUUGUUCCUGCGAAAAGAUACCAAGUUCAGGGACUAAAUUUAGCUAUUCCUUGGUAGAUCAGAAAAACUGGGGUCCUGCUGUUGAUGGAGAUCUCAAAGCCUUCAUAUCAUGUUUCCUGUACACAAUAAGGCAUUUGAUCUCUGGUGGUAUUUCUAAUCUCUAUUAAAUGCCUGAUGGUGAAAGAUACCUGCUUUUAUUUGAGGUACAAGUGUUACUUUAAAAAUGAAUGUGAAUAUUUUUUUAAUCACAAAAGAUAGCAGUAAGGGUUGGGUAGAAAUACUUUUUUGAGCUGUGUGGUAGCUAUGCAAAUGUUUCUUUUUGUUAAACGGUGCUUUGUUGUUGACAAAAAAAGGUUAAGUCCUUUGCACACAAGUCUGACAGGGGAAGACAGCAAAGCAUUUGUUAAAGAAAUAGCUUCCAAGGCACGUGUUCAGAGCUGUCACUUAUUUGCAUAUUUUUGCCACUGCACAAAUCAAACAUUAUGGCUUCCCCAGCAGAGUGCAGCUCAGGAAGGAGGAGCAAAGGUGCCUGGAGAUGCCUGGGGACAGCUAGCUGGUGCAGUGGAUUCUGCAGGGCAGAGCCGCAGGCUGUUGUUUUGCUGAGAGGAAAUAAAACAGCCUUUGGGAGGGCAAGAGGGAAGAGUGCAACCUUCCCAUCUGAUGGGGCUUGUAGAGUAGAGUUGCAGUCAAAUGUCUGCUCCAGGAAAUUUUAGUUGAACUGUGCGAGUCCAUUAAACAAAUGUAAUGGAUUUUUGGAAAGAAGAACUGCAUGUUUCAAACCAAAUGUUUUACAUAGAGAACAUCUGGUUAGUUCUGGACGUUUGUAUGUAGAGCACAUCAGACAGCAGCCGUAGUGAAUUCAUCUGGGAGGUUGCCUGGGAUGUAGUUGUAGGAUAUGACAGUUCAGUUGUUAUGGGGAAUAAUUCCUAUGAAGUAUUGCCAUAAACUGAAUCUUUGGCACAAACAGCAGUAUCUUCGUUUGACUGCACACCCAGUUUAGUCUUCUUAUCUGCCCAGAAAAACUCUAGGUGCUGUUUAAAUAACCCAGUAAAAGCUGGCACCUCAGAGCUGUAUUCAAGCAUGCCCAAGGAGGCGAAAUGAAGCUUGAUCUGUGUUCAGGGAAGCACUACGGAUUCCUGCCGUGGGCAGUGCAGCACGAGUGAGCAAUGCAUGCAAUAUGUGCAAAUGGUUUGUAGGGUUGAGUUGGAAAUGAUCAGUGUUCCACUGGUGUUGUGUGGUGUUGCUUUGAGCAAUGUGAAUAUGCAAAACUGGUGAAAUGCAUGUAAUUAGCCUGACAUUAGAGUUUAUUUGGGCUACUGGAAGAACUUUAACCUGGGUAAAUCAAUAAGUCUGCUUUUAUUUCACAGCAUCAGAAAUAAUAUAUUUUCAGGAAAUGUAGAAAAAUGUCUUAUUUGGGAGUUGGUCCUUUAAUUAUUUCUGCAGUUUAACUGAGGAGUGUGUGGUUCAAAUGAGAUUAAAGUUGUAAUUUCCAAAGUAGCAAUGCAGCUUCCCAUUUCAGGAUUGCUCAACUAAAAAGUUAAACAAAGUGGGUUAGGCAGUCUCUUGGUCCAGUCCCUUGUGGACAGCAAUUCGCAUUAUGCAGCACUGCUUUAAUAGUCCUGCUCGGUCUGACAUGAUUUGUGGUAUUUGCUGAGAUGAGUUUCUGGACUGAGCAGCAUGAAAGGGAAUUGCUCCUCACUCUGAGGAAGGGUGUAUGUCCAAGUCUGUGCGAAGGUCACUGGCAGGGUGAAGUGGGAAGCCUGGGCUGCUGUUGUUACACUACCUAACAGCUUAGCUUCUGGCAAGGGGAUCCCAGAAAUAUGAGUUCUAACUCUCGCUUGUUCAACUGACUCCAGCCAAAACACGUGCCAAAAAAGGUGUCUGUGCAUGUUGAAGAAGGGGGCAACAGUCCUGGAGCUCUCAGGGUCUGGGGGAGUUCUUAGGCAAAAGCUUUCCAUCCUGAAAAAUAAUUGCUUUGUGCUUUCUUUUCCCCUUCCAAAGUUAAGUCUCCUCAUAACAGCUUAGAACAACUGCCUACAGUUGUAAACUCCUCUUCUAGUGAGGAAAGCUGGAAUUAUGCAUUUAAGGCUGCAGAAUUGCUCAAUCACCAGCCACUUAAUUGUAGGAAAGUGUAAUUCAUUCCUCACGCUCUCACAUCCAAUCCAAGCCCAACUGGCUGCAGGGAGCAAGAGUGUUCCUGUUCCUGUGUUUCUCUCCUGAGCCAUUAGGGUGGCCCUGGUAAUCUACUUUCAAUAAAUAGAAGGGAGCAACAGGAGGUUCCUCUACCUUCAGGGGUGUAAAUAUUUCUCAGAAAUCAGAGACGGAUGGGGAAAAAAUCUUAGCAAACUCCUUUCCUCCUGCUGUAGUAAUUCCACCAGAUUCCGUCAUAAAUUCUAAGACAGUCCCUUCCCAGAAGGGACCAUUAAAUAGGUAAUGUCCAGGAAGAACAGUGUAAUACUGAAGCACUGUGUUAACAAAAAUGAGUUUAAUAUUGCAAAGCUAUCUGUAAGCCCUGGAGCAAAAUAAUCUGGGUGAGGCUUUGAUACAUGAUUGCCAAUCUUUUUGUUUUCCAAGAGUAUUUUUCCAGAUAGGAUACAGAUUUAUAGUUUGCUAGAUUCUCACCAGGAAGUGGUGUUUAUAUUUUGAUUCAUCUUAGAUCAAUUUAGGAAAGUAUACUAGAUACAGGUGCUUCUGAUAGUUCCAUGUCAUUAACCAUUCCAACUGUGCUGUUUAAACACAUCUGUGCACCUUCCAUCAUAUAAUUUCUGUGGCCCACUGUCUUUGCACAAUGAAUCCUUGCUCAUCAAUGUAAAUCAAAAGGACUAAAGUCUAUAAAUUCAGCUUUAAAAAUCUCUUCACACUUAAAAAUUCCAUUCUGUUAAUUAGGAAUUUCAGGUGGUCAGACAUUAUGGUGUUAGGUUUUAGUGAGUGUUGUGGUGGUUGAAAGUACAGACAUUUCUUUUAGAAAAGACUCUUCCCAAGUUUUUUUCCUUGUACUAUUGUAAUUCUCAUGGUGAAACAGCACUUCCCUUUUUUCUCAGAAGGACUGUAGAACUGGAGAGCAAAAUCAAAAGAUCCACACAAUACCAGCUGACUUCACAUUUCUGGUGGAAGAGGCAUUAUAAAGAUGUGCAAAGCUCUCAGUGAUUCUGAGGUUUCUCUGAACUCACAGAAGCUUCAGCGAAAAAGAGAAAAUAAUCCAAGUUACAUUUGUUAAUCCACAACUUUCUCAAGCAGAACCUACCAAUGAAUGAAAAUGUGCUGUAAGGUGGUUUCUUGGGAAAAAAACUGGUUCUAAGAGUUCAAACAAUGUCUAACCUUCUUCCUUGUUUAAUGUGAAUUACAGCCUUGCACUGAUCUAGUGCCUUUUGCCUAAACCUGUAAAAUCACUUUAGAGACUCUGGUAACUGCUAAGGUUACCAUUAUUUAGCAGCACAUUGUAACAGUUUGCAGCAGUUGCUUAGAGGGUGUGAAUAACCCCAUUUCCAAUUUAAAUUAUUGGAGGAAUUACAGGAGACCGUGUAAUUUUCAAACUGGAACUAGAUCCAGGCACCAGGGCUUUAUACCUGUCUUCUUAAGAAAGUCAUAAAGGGCUUUUUUAUAAUGACCUAGCCAAUAUCUUGGUUUUGUGUUUCAUCCCCAAAUUGAUGCCUUGAACAGUGUGCACUCCUACUUUGGAGGAUUACUUCAGUGUGGUUCACUGCUUAUUCACAAUGAAAAAACAACAUUGAAUUAAAGUCCCUCUCUGCUGCCUCAGGUUAGCAUUUUGCAUUACAUCAGCAGCUGUGGUAGUUGUGAGAUCAAGCCCCAAAAUUACUGUGAAAUCUAUCUUCCAGUUUUUGGAGAGUGGAUCUGUAAUAUCCAUGUAACAUUGAGAACAGUGAACUUGGGGCUUGUGAAUUCUUUCACUCCUCUUUAUCCUGACUUGCCAGUAAUUUAAUUAGUGCUAAACAGUCUGCACACAGACUCGCAGAAGUUAAAAGACUGACUGACACAGGAUUCUCUUUCAGUGACUUUUCCUCUUUUGCUCAUGUGCUGGAUGGAACUAUGCUGUGUUUGGAAGUCGAUCAAUAAUGAUUGCACAAUUCUAACCUCAUUUAAACUAUGAUAUAAACAGACAUGAUAGAAAUGGAUGCUACCAGUUUUUUUCCUACUUAAAAGUGAAGUCAGCCUUUUUGUUUUUCUGCUUCGCCCCCCCCCCCCCUUUUCCCCCCCUUUUUGGUUCCAACAAAACUCUAACCUGGAAGAAAAGCAAUUAGACUUUUUGAAAUCCCAACUCAGUGUAGCAUUUGGCUUUGGUAAAUGUGGAAGCCAAAAAUAAACAUCUGCUUGGCAACUUCACUAGAAGUUAACUGUAAAUGCAGUUUUCAUCUUUUGAGUGAAUGUGGCAUUCAGUGCUGAUUAACAUCUAUUAAGGAGAAUGAUCCAUAGUUGAAGCUGUAAAGCAUAUUUUUUUCUUUUUUAAUUACAGUUAUGAACCUCCAUUGCCUUGGGGAAAUCCCCUACCCCAGUUUCUUUCCAGAUCUAAUUUCUUAGGUGCCAAAGCAUUGAGCUUUUCUUGAAAGUUUGAAAGUAGUUGGAUGGGAUAUUUGUGAGUUAUUAGACAUUGGAAAGGAGAUGAUCUUCCCAUCAAUCUGUGCAUGAUAUGGAGGAUAUGGAGUUACAGUUAGAAGUGUAUUAGAGAAAAUGUAAGCAGUUCCACUCUUUUCUCCAGGAGGGUGAAGUCUGCACAUGAUAGGGACUCUCCCAGGAUACCAGACCAGCCAUGGGCUCCGGUCCUGACAGGACACAGCUGCAAACAUCUUUAAUAACCUUAUCAUGUAAGAUCUCUGCUUUUCAACAAAUCUUUUGCAACCUCUGCUCCUACCACAGCAAAUUUGUUGUACUGUGGUUAGGGAGGAUUGAAGUGGAUGCAGAUUUUUGGUAGCAUGCUAUUGGGACAGUGGGGAGGGGUGAGAAGGGUCAACUUGAGGCAUCAAUAAGGGAAACAUAUCAUUAUUGCUAGGGAUGGUGGUUAUUUGUAGGAUCUUUCUUCUAGAACUGAACAGUGCUAUGAUUUAGGACUUCAGUAAUAUGGUGUAAAAAGCUUUUGGGAAGGGAGAAGUUUUUUAGUAUAUUUCUGACAUAUAUGGCUUGAGGCAAGGAUUCUCAGCAUUAAAUGAAGAAAGGUCUGCCAGGGAAAUUUGUCAGAGAAUGCAUGGUGUAAAUAUGCCAGGCUUUUUAUACAGAGCUGAGGGUAGUGAGUACCAGACAAUGGAGGGAUGCAAAUUUCCCAGUAAGGCAGUAGUUACUCAGGAAAUGUGCUCACAAAUCCUGAUAACAAGCACCGUAUGCGGGGGUGAGGGAAGAAGUGAAGGAAGGGUGUUGUAUGUUCCUCCUGGCACCCACUUUAUAUAUGUACAGUAUAAAUGUGUUCAUCUGGUACCUUCUACUGCUCAUAAAAACUUGAUUCCACAAACAUUUUUCUCUGUGAAUAAAGGGGGAGCUGGAGAGAAUAUAUAAUCCCCUUGCUGAGUGUUUGUGAAUAGUUAAUUCCUCUUCUCCACCUGGUGAAUCAUCAUUUAUGAUAUGAUAGCAGCAGUUAUAUCCAGCAGAACCA